rnacentral:rRNA from 1 species
GAUGAACGCUGGCGGCGUGCCUAAUACAUGCAAGUCGAGCGAACGGACGAGAAGCUUGCUUCUCUGAUGUUAGCGGCGGACGGGUGAGUAACACGUGGAUAACCUACCUAUAAGACUGGGAUAACUUCGGGAAACCGGAGCUAAUACCGGAUAAUAUUUUGAACCGCAUGGUUCAAAAGUGAAAGACGGUCUUGCUGUCACUUAUAGAUGGAUCCGCGCUGCAUUAGCUAGUUGGUAAGGUAACGGCUUACCAAGGCAACGAUGCAUAGCCGACCUGAGAGGGUGAUCGGCCACACUGGAACUGGGACACGGUCCAGACUACUACGGGAGGCAGCAGUAGGGAAUCUUCCGCAAUGGGCGAAAGCCUGACGGAGCAACGCCGCGUGAGUGAUGAAGGUCUUCGGAUCGUAAAACUCUGUUAUUAGGGAAGAACAUAUGUGUAAGUAACUGUGCACAUCUUGACGGUACCUAAUCAGAAAGCCACGGCUAACUACGUG